CAAUAGCGUAUAUUUAAGUUGUUGCAGUUAAAAAGCUCGUAGUUGGAUUUCGGGUGGGAAUGGCCGGUCCGCCGUUUCGGUGUGCACUUGCUACGCCCACCUUGCUGCCGGGGACGUGCUCUUGGGUUCACGCUCGGGACACGGAGUCGGCGAGGUUACUUUGAGUAAAUUAGAGUGUUCAAAGCAGGCCUACGCUCUGAAUACAUUAGCAUGGAAUAACACGAUAGGACUCUGGCCUAUCUUGUUGGUCUGUAGGACCGGAGUAAUGAUUAAGAGGGACAGUCGGGGGCAUUCGUAUUUCAUUGUCAGAGGUGAAAUUCUUGGAUUUAUGAAAGACGAACUACUGCGAAAGCAUUUGCCAAGGAUGUUUUCAUUAA
rnacentral:rRNA from 1 species